UGGGGAAUAUUGGACAAUGGGCGCAAGCCUGAUCCAGCAAUGCCGCGUGAGUGAUGAAGGCCUUAGGGUUGUAAAGCUCUUUUACCAGGGAUGAUAAUGACAGUACCUGGAGAAUAAGCUCCGGCUAACUCCGUGCCAGCAGCCGCGGUAAUACGGAGGGAGCUAGCGUUGUUCGGAAUUACUGGGCGUAAAGCGCACGUAGGCGGCUAUUCAAGUCGGGGGUGAAAGCCCGGGGCUCAACCCCGGAACUGCCCUCGAAACUAGGUAGCUAGAAUCUUGGAGAGGUCAGUGGAAUUCCGAGUGUAGAGGUGAAAUUCGUAGAUAUUCGGAAGAACACCAGUGGCGAAGGCGACUGACUGGACAAGUAUUGACGCUGAGGUGCGAAAGCGUGGGGAGCAAACAGGAUUAGAUACCC
rnacentral:rRNA from 1 species